GUGUACCUGGACGACGCGGAUCGAACGGAGGAGGUGAUCCAAGAUCCGUUUGCCUCUCCGCCACCGUAGAGAAACUUUGAGGAAGAGGAAGAAACCGAGCUGUUGGUGUCGAGAAAGUUUCAAGCUCCGACGUGAGAUUGAAAGGCGGUAGGGAGUAGAUCUAGGAACCGUCAACAGUGGCUUAGCUCCACCCGACCGGAGUCAACCUCCCCCAUCAAGCGGCGGCCUAAUGAAGCCUCCAGGAUCUCCGGUUCCAGACCUAACCGUCUUCUCUCUCAUGCUUCGCCGUGAAGACUUCCUCUUCCAUUCUGCGGCGCUACACCACCGGUGGAGUCAUCGACGGUGUCUUGCAGAAGCUAUCCCUCUUCGCUUCUCCCUUGAUUUUGAUUCGUUUGUGAAGCUUAGAAGAUGCAGCAGAUUGCGUAGUUGAAGAACCAUGAGCCAUAGAGUCCUCAUCGUCGCCGGAAUCGACGGAGGACCCAUCGGAAAAGCAAGAAAUUGUGCUCAGAAGAAGAAAGAGAAGGGAGAAAGAAAUCGCCGCGAGUGGAUCUCACGCGCACGAUUUCUUUCUUUUACGUUUUCCAAAUAAUUAUUCUUAGAACCAAGAAGUAUUUGCAUGGGUGAAGUACAUAAAACCAAUAAUGGACGACAAAUAAAUUCAAGUUCAGUUCGAGAACUUCC
rnacentral:lncRNA from 1 species